rnacentral:rRNA from 1 species
AGUGAACGCUGGCGGCAGGCCUAACACAUGCAAGUCGAGCGGCAGCGCGUCCGACCACCCUCGGGUGGUCGGAUGGCGGCGAGCGGCGGACGGGUGAGGAAUGCAUCGGAAUCUGCCUCGUUGUGGGGGAUAACGUAGGGAAACUUACGCUAAUACCGCAUACGACCUACGGGUGAAAGUGGGGGACCUUCGGGCCUCACGCGAUGAGAUGAGCCGAUGCCGGAUUAGCUAGUUGGCGGGGUAAAGGCCCACCAAGGCGACGAUCCGUAGCUGGUCUGAGAGGAUGAUCAGCCACACUGGAACUGAGACACGGUCCAGACUCCUACGGGAGGCAGCAGGUGGGGAAUAUUGGACAAUGGGGGCAACCCUGAUCCAGCCAUGCCGCGUGUGUGAAGAAGGCCUUCGGGUUGUAAAGCACUUUUGUUGGGGAAGAAACCGGCCGGGUUAAUACCCUG